rnacentral:tRNA from 1 species
AUUGAUAUAGUAUAAAUUAAUACAAUUAACUUCCAAUUAAUAGAUUUAUGUGUAAAUAAUAUUAAUA